GCAGGAGGGCAGGAAGACUGGAGUGCCUGGAACAGGAAGACUAGAUGCUAUGCAAGACACUGUAGCACUGGAAAUAUUAUUCAUCAACUCCACUGGUUUAUGGGAUUUAAUUUCACCAGGCAUUGCCCAUCCACAUCCAAAGCUUAUCACGACAGCCAUAAGGACUAGAAAGUUGCUCAGUAAAAUAAAAUAAAAUAAAAAUUCUUAGGUCGCC